rnacentral:rRNA from 1 species
UACGGAGGGUGCAAGCGUUAUCCGGAUUCACUGGGUUUAAAGGGAGCGCAGGCGGGCUGGUAAGUCAGUGGUGAAAGCCUUGAGCUUAACUCGAGAACUGCCAUUGAUACUAUCAGUCUUGAAUAUUGUUGAGGUUGCGGAAUGGGUCAUGUAGCGGUGAAAUGCAUAGAUAUGACCCGGAACACCUAUUGCGAAGGCAGCAGGCUAAACAAAGAUUGACGCUGAGGCUCGAAAGCGUGGGAUCAAACAGG